rnacentral:rRNA from 1 species
UGGGGAAUAUUGCACAAUGGGGGAAACCCUGAUGCAGCGACGCCGCGUGAACGAAGAAGGUAUUCGUAUCGUAAAGUUCUGUCCUAUGGGAAGAUAAUGACAGUACCAUAGAAGAAAGCUCCGGCUAAAUACGUGCCAGCAGCCGCGGUAAUACGUAUGGAGCGAGCGUUGUCCGGAAUUAUUGGGCGUAAAGGGUACGCAGGCGGUUUAAUAAGUCGAAUGUUAAAGAUCGGGGCUCAACCCCGCAAAGCAUUGGAAACUGAUAAACUGGAGUAGUGGAGAGGAAAGUGGAAUUCCUAGUGUAGUGGUGAAAUACGUAGAUAUUAGGAGGAAUACCAGUAGCGAAGGCGACUUUCUGGACACAAACUGACGCUGAGGUACGAAAGCGUGGGGAGCAAACAGG